rnacentral:rRNA from 1 species
GUCUUUUUGGUAUUAAUUUAAGGUUUAGCCUGCCCAAUGAAAAUUUGAAUGGCCGCGGUAUUUUGACUGUGCUAAGGUAGCAUAAUCAUUAGUUUUUUAAUUAAAAGCUGGAAUGAAGGGUUGGAUGAAAAAUUAACUGUCUCUAAUUAAUUUUAUUAGAAUUUUAUUUUUAAGUUAAAAAGCUUAAAUAAUUUUAAAAGACGAGAAGACCCUAUAGAGUUUGAUAUAUUUAAUUUAUUAAUAUUAAGAAUUUACUUUUUAUAAUUAUAAUAUAUUUAAUUGGGGUGAUUAAAAAAUUUAAUAAACUUUUUUUAUAAAUUUAUAUUGGUUAAUAAAUUAAUGAUCCAAAAAUUUUGAUUAUAAGAUAAAUUACCUUAGGGAUAACAGCGUAAUUUUAUUAGAGAGUUCUAAUCGAAAAUAAAGUUUGCGACCUCGAUGUUGGAUUAAAAUUUAUAUUUGGUGUAGCAGCUAAAUAAUUUAAGUCUGUUCGACUUUUAGAAUUUUACA